UACGUAGGGCGCAAGCGUUGUCCGGAAUUACUGGGCGUAAAGCGCACGUAGGCGGAUUUGUAAGUCAGGGGUGAAAUCCCGGGGCUCAACCUCGGAACUGCCUUUGAUACUGCAAAUCUCGAGUCCGGAAGAGGUGAGUGGAAUUCCUAGUGUAGAGGUGAAAUUCGUAGAUAUUAGGAAGAACACCAAGUGGCGAAGGCGGCUCACUGGUCCGGUACUGACGCUGAGGUGCGAAAGCGUGGGGAGCAAACAGG
rnacentral:rRNA from 1 species